AGGAACUUAUGGGGCAGGAUGCUCACAGAACUGUAGUGGUAACUGUCUGUAUGGGACUCCUUGUAAUACAAGUACUGGAGUAUGUGAUGAAGGCUGUAACCCUGGGUAUACUAGAGAGAACUGUGAUAAAGAAUGCCCUGUCGGUACCUUUGGUCCAAAUUGUAAGAGCAACUGCAGUGGGAACUGUGUGAAUAAUGAGACUUGUAACAAUGUGAACGGAAGUUGUUUGCAUGGUUGCAAAGCAGGCUUCCAAGGAUUCUACUGUAAAGAAAAAUGUACCCAUGGGACGUACGGAGACUGCAGACAAAGUUGUAGUGGACAUUGUGCCAAUAAUGAAACCUGUAACUUUGUUGACGGACAUUGUAAAAAUGGAUGCAAUCCAGGGUAUCAUGGACAGAAAUGUAAUUCUUGUACGUAUGAAACUGCUU